rnacentral:rRNA from 1 species
UGGCGAACGGGUUAGUAACGCGUGGGAACAUACACAGCACAGGGGGAUAACCAUUGGAAACGAUGGCUAAUACCGCAUACGCCCUACUGGGGAAAGAUUUAUCGGUGUUGGAUUGGCCCGCGUUAGAUUAGCUAGUUGGUGGGGUAAUGGCUCACCAAGGCGACGAUUUAUAGCUGGUUUGAGAGGAUGAUCAGCAACACUGGAACUGAGACACGGUCCAGACUCCUACGGGAGGCAGCAGUCGGGAAUAUUGUGCAAUGGGGGCAACCCUGACACAGCCAUGCCGCGUGAGUGAAGAAGGCCUUAGGGUUGUAAAGCUCUUUCAGAUGUGAGGAUGAUGACGAUAGCAUCAGAAGAAGCUCCGGCUAACUUCGUGCCAGCAGCCGCGGUAAUACGAAGGGAGCUAGCGUUGUUCGGAAUUACUGGGCGUAAAGGGCGUGUAGGCGGAUUAUCAAGUUAGGGGUGAAAUCCCGGGGCUCAACCUCGGCACUGGCUUUAAGACUGAUUAUCUAGAGUAUGUGAGGGGAUAAU